rnacentral:rRNA from 1 species
UAAGGAAUAUUGGACAAUGGAGGCAACUCUGAUCCAGCCAUGCCGCGUGAAGGAUGAAGGCGCUCAGCGUUGUAAACUUCUUUUGAGUGGGAACAAAAACGGGACUUGUCCCGGACUGAGGGUACCACUAGAAUAAGCACCGGCUAACUCCGUGCCAGCAGCCGCGGUAAUACGGAGGGUGCAAGCGUUAUCCGGAAUCACUGGGUUUAAAGGGUGCGUAGGCGGUCGGAUAAGUCAGUCGUGAAAUGCC